rnacentral:misc_RNA from 1 species
GGUGUGCAGAGUAAUCAGCCAAGUCGGACUUAGACUUGUACCGAGAAUGAAGAAUGUGAGUGAAGGAAAAAGAGGAAGAUCUGUCACGAAUAAGGGGACCAGAACUGAGAUGAACUACUUGAUUGAGAGAAGUCAAGCUGUUGAGGUUGUUAACCAUGGCGGUAAGCUUUGAAGGGUCAGCAUCAGGUUUGGCUUUGAAGAGCACCACAUGUUCGACGAUUUGCUCAGCAGACAUUUUGAUAGAACGAUACAAACAGUACGGCUUGAGAUGGCGACGAGUGAUGGCGAUGGCGGUAGGAGGGAAUGCGCGAGGCGAUAAGAAGUGAGAGCAAGCUACUGCUGUACCUGACGUUUUGACACCCAGCUGCAUCAUUAUUUUGGAUCCUUCGAUUGCUGCUUGCUUUAGGUGGGUCGUCAAUUUCUCAAUGAUGACCAAAUUGUAAUUUAUAUUUAUUGUCUUUACUAAGAUAGAAUUAAUUAUUUAUUUAUUUUCAAUUUUAC